ACAACGGUGGAGCCUGCGGUUAAUUGGACUCAACGCCGGGCAGCUCACCGGAUAAGACAGCUGGAUGAUAGCCGGGCUGAAGACUCUGCUUGACUAGCUGAGAGGAGGUGCAUGCCGUCGUCAGUUCGUACUGUGAAGCAUCCUGUUAAGUCAGGCAACGAGCGAGACCCACGCCAACAGUUGCCAGCAUGUCCUCCGGGAUGAUGGGGACACUGUUGGGACCGCCUCUGCUAAAGAGGAGGAAGGAAUGGGCAACGGUAGGUCAGCAUGCCCCGAAUUAUCCGGGCUACACGCGGGCUACAAUGGUCAGGACAAUGGGUAUCGACACCGAGAGGUGGAGGCAAUCUCCUAAACCUGUCCUUAGUUCGGAUUGUGGGCUGCAACUCGCCCACAUGAAGCUGGAAUCCGUAGUAAUCGCGUUUCAAAAUAGCGCGGUGAAUAUGUCCCUGCUCCUU
rnacentral:rRNA from 1 species